rnacentral:rRNA from 1 species
CGCCUUUUGCUUAAUAUAAGAGGUCCAGCCUGCCCAGUGAAAAUUUAACGGCCGCGGUACCCUGACCGCGCGAAGGUAGCAUAAUCACUCGUUCUUUAAAUAGGGACUUGUAUCAAUGGCAUCACGAGGGUCGCACUGUCUCCUCCCUCUAAUCAGUGAACCUGAUCUCUCCGUGAAGAAGCGGGGAUAAAAAUAUAAGACGAGAAGACCCCAUGGAGCUUUAAACCUAAAGCAAUCUAAUCAAAUAAACCCCCACAUAAUUUAAAUAUGCAUAACGGUUUUAGGUUGGGGUGACCGCGGAGUAAAAACAAACCUCCACAGCGAAAAGAAAUUAAUCUUAUUCAAGAGCUACUACUCUAAAAAUUAGCACACUAACGAACAAUGACCCGAUAAUCGAUCAAUGGACCAAGUUACCCUGGGGAUAACAGCGCAAUCUACUUCAAGAGCCCAUAUCGACAAGUAGGCUUACGACCUCGAUGUUGGAUCAGGGUAUCCCAGUGGUGCAACCGCUACUAAUGGUUCGUUUGUUCAACGAUUAAAACCCCU